GAAUACACCCAAUCUCCUCUGAUCUGCAAAGCUAAGCAGGGUUGGGCCUGGUUAGUAUUUGGAUGGGAGACUACCUGGGAAUACCAGGUGCUGUAAGCU
ensembl:rRNA 5S_rRNA 5S ribosomal RNA